rnacentral:lncRNA from 1 species
UGGGAGGAGGAUGGCAAGCACUAGACCAUGCAUGAUUUCCGUAAUAUAAAAACAUGAAAUAGCGGAUGUACGGAUGGCAACUCUGAUGGAAAAGCAAGAUUGUAUUAAAAUACAUCAUAAGACUCACUAAUUUCGGUACUAAAUUGAAUUUAGAGCUUCUAACUGGACAUUUGGUGAAAAGAAAAUUCCCUUUGUUUAUUUAUCUAUCCAGGUCAAUAAGAAGAAAAAUGGCAAGGUUUCCAUUGAUAUACACAAGUUGUGAUCAGCAAAAUGAGAAAUAAAUGUAGACCCUAUCCAUCCAUUUGGACCCAUUGCAUCAAUCUUCAAGAACAUACCGAUUCCGUCUAGCACCAAACGCAAUCCUCUGUAUGUCAAUACAAAAUCAUGAUAUCAUUAUAUAGAAAUCAGGUGUCACUG